CGAGGAAUAUUGGUCAAUGGGCGCAAGCCUGAACCAGCCAUCCCGCGUGCAGGAAGACGGCGCUAUGCGUUGUAAACUGCUUUUCCAGGGAGAGAAACUUGCGCACGUGUUGCGCAAUUGACGGUACCCUGGGAAUAAGCAUCGGCUAACUCCGUGCCAGCUGCCGCGGUAAUACGGAGGAUGCGAGCGUUAUCCGGAUUCAUUGGGUUUAAAGGGUGCGCAGGCGGACUAUUAAGUCAGUGGUGAAAUCCUGCAGCUUAACUGCAGAACUGCCAUUGAUACUGAUAGCCUUGAGUUUGGUUAAGGUAGGCGGAAUGUGUAAUGUAGCGGUGAAAUGCUUAGAUAUUACACAGAACACCAAUUGCGUAGGCAGCUUACUGAGCCGACACUGACGCUGAGGCACGAAAGCGUGGGGAUCGAACAG
rnacentral:rRNA from 1 species